CGGGGCUUGGAAUCAAGAUGCUGUGGGCCCCGCCAGCGUCAAGCGGGCGAUCACGGGGAUCUCCACACGCCCGCCGGUACAGCCGCUGACUGCUUAAAGUAGGCCGUUGAGGGAAGCUCGCAUUGCUCUCAUCGCUCCGAAUUUCAUGUAGCAGUCGCGCCGCAUGCCGUGGAGGGGUGAGCUGUGUUGGCAGCUCAGAAGAUGCGGGACGCCG
rnacentral:sRNA from 12 species